GAAGGAAGGAUACGACAAAUAUCGAUCCCUGACAAUUCAUACGUCAUCCAACAAAGAAUAUGAACAUUAUCAUGAUGACGCCUUCAAAUCGAACUGUGAUUAUCAAGCUGGUAGAGACUGUGAUACCCAUAAAGAAGACGAGUCUGCAAAAAUAAAAAUAAUUUAGAAAAAGCAA
rnacentral:lncRNA from 13 species